CAGAGUAUUGGAUUUUGUCCAAACUGUUUAACGUUUAAUAAAUUGUAAAAAAGUAUCUUUAGGUGCUUGAAUCACCCAAAACCACCCUAAGAAAUAGCACUUACCAAUUGAUUCAGGAAGGUCAGAGCCAUUGUUAGGGUAUCUGUUUUGACAAUAAGGGAGAUAGGUGCUCUUCUUCUUUGCGUCUUCUCUUGCCAUAUUUACCACUGAUAAUAUAAUCGUUACAUAACUGUUAUGUUAGAAAGUGUCCAUUGAGUAUUUACUAGUUGACCACUAUUUCAUUCUGAGUGGCCUGAGUCUGGUGCUGUUCAUUUAAAUGCUCACAGACUGAUAAGAACUUGAGACGAUUCACA
ensembl:lncRNA